UCUCGGCUUAUCACCGGCAGUCCCCUUAGAGUGCCCAACUGAAUGCUGGCAACUAAGGGCGAGGGUUUCGCUCGUUAUAGGACUUAACCAAACACCUCACGGCACGAGCUGACGACAGCCAUGCAGCACCUGUACUCCCCCCCUUGCGGGUACCCGUCCUUCAACGGUUUAGAGAGCCUUUCAAGCCUAGGUAAGGUUCUUCGCGUUGCAUCGAAUUAAACCACAUGCUCCACUGCUUGUGCGGGCCCCCGUCAAUUCCUUUGAGUUUCACCCUUGCGAGCGUACUCCCCAGGUGGUACACUUAACGCGUUAGCUACGACACCGACCCUAAGGGCCGACAUCAAGUGUACAUCGUUUAGGGCAUGGACUAC
rnacentral:misc_RNA from 1 species